CAUUUAAUGCAAAAAGGCUUGAAAGUAACAAUAGAAAAAGUCCCCAAACAAUAAAGGAAUGUAUGUGAACUGAUCACUCAAGCGAUGUUUUCACCAGCUCUGUAUCAAGAAGAAGAGGGGGAAAAAAAAAAAAAAGCUCCUGCAACUUUACAGACACUUUGUUCCUCCGACCCAUCAACUGCAUGAAAGAUAUGCUGGCAAAAAGAUUGAAGGUUCCAGGGUCUUGAGUAGCCAAGUAAUCGUGCUUUAGAAUCAAAGGGUUCUUUUCAGCAGACCACAGUUGACUCCUACCUUUAACACAACACUCAACAUUCCAGGAGAGGUUUUUGCCUUCCCUUCAAUCCUUCCAACACACAAGUUGAAGACUAAGAGGGAGCACACAAAUGGAGCCAGCUACAGAGGAAGAACUGAAAAUUUCCCCAUCCCAAAAUUGUAUCUGAUCUCUCUCUGCAUCUAGGCCAUUGAAAGGGGGAAGUCGCCAAGCCCUGUUUGUCCACAGUUUCACAAAAGAAGAGAGACUGAACAUCAAAAAAGUAGUAUCUAUUCUUACUAGCCCCUUCCACUUCACAAACUUAUUUUUAAGCCAGUUUAUUGGUAUGUCUGAGAGUAUUCUUCUAGAACAAUAUAAUAGAGAAAAAUGUUCCAAUUCAAAAGAGAAUUGCCAGUGGGAAAUCUUCCUCUUACCAUACCUAUUAGCUUUUCUUCAGAUAAUAAAAUUCAAAGAGAGCACCAAUUAAUUUUUAAAAUUUCCCCUAUUUAAACAAAACUUAGGAUACUUUGAGUCUUUCAACAUUUCCAAGUUUUCAAACACCCGUAAACCUUAGUACUUUUGAGUUUACAUGUUGCAUGUGCUUGCAGCUAAAAUUGAGUAUAAUUCAUAACAUCUAUGUUUUUAACUGCUUCCUCUCAUUUUCUCAACUCAGAUUCUUAUUUCACGUAGACAGAAAUACACAUAAUGAUGUCUUCUCCAUAUAACCAAGUCAUCUGAAGUAUAGGAGUUGCGUAUAUUUGUUUACAGGGUUUUCAAAGAGAAAAACGCUACUUCGGAG
rnacentral:lncRNA from 1 species